UCCACAUUCUCACGUAGUUUUUAAAGACCUCAGAUAAUAGAAAAACAAACAAAAUUAAAUCCAGGUUCAGCUAAUCAACCAAAAUUGCAUUACUAGGUAACUAGAGUGACAGAGCUUGCUCCAUAUGCGCAAUCAAAACAACCACAGAAGUUUACUAUGUAUGGACACAAAAAUGGGUUGACAGUAUAUAACAGAAAAAGAACAAUAACUCUACAGAAAUAUUAAGUAUGGAAACCCCGCAGCCCGUAGUACAAUUCUUAGAUGACAUAUUCUACCUCUAAACAAGUUUUUUCUAAAUUGAGAUGGACAUCCAGUUCCAUUUCACUGCAAAUCACCUGCUGUCCGAUAUCAUGUAGCAUAUGCACCAGUAAGUCUUGAACGCUUUAGUACCACUCCUAGUUAGGUUACAACUUCAUUCCAUUAGAAGACAGAAAAGUGAUCCCAAAGAACAGCGUAGACUAAAGACAGCAAUCUUGAAAGAACAAUUGUUCUGAGAUGGUAAAAACUGCUUCUAGUCCUGAAAAGAUUAUAUAAUUAACUAGAAAUGCUGACGAUGCAGAAUCUAUGCGAUGGAACUAUGGUCUGAGCAAAAGCGUUCCUGACCAUGAAGAGUUAAGUCCUGAAGUCAAAACAUCACACUUACGGUUGCAUUUUCUCUUUCUUGUGCGUCAUUGCACUUCUUUAUGGUUCUCCUUAUUUGAAUCUGAAGUACCCAGUGGCAGAUUUAACUGGUUAGUCAACCAAAAACUGUAAUACUCCAUCGCUGAGAAUGGCUUAGGUAUAAUAAGAAUAAACCUCCUGAGAAUGGCUUAGGUAUAAUAAGAAUAAACCUCCCAUGAAUAUUUACAAGAUAUUCCUCUCUUCAUGAAAUAUUCUGGCACUAAGACAAUGUUGAUUCAACCACAAUCUUCAGACUAUCCACUAAAGUUUUAGGGUUGCCCAAAUGAACAAAAGCAAGUCCAACUUCAGAGAAAUCACCCUUCUGGUCAUCAGGUAAACUUCACCAAUAAGUGCAGGAAAAAUCGCAUUAUCCUGUUAC
rnacentral:lncRNA from 1 species